UACAGAGGUCCCGAGCGUUGUUCGGAUUCACUGGGCGUAAAGGGUGCGUAGGUGGUGAGGUAAGUCGGAUGUGAAAUCUCCAAGCUCAACUUGGAAAUGGCAUUGGAAACUACCUUGCUGGAGGUUUGGAGGGGGGACUGGAAUUCUCGGUGUAGCAGUGAAAUGCGUAGAUAUCGGGAGGAACACCAGUGGCGAAGGCGGCGAUCUGGGAAGAUACUGACGCUGAGGUGCGAAAGCGUGGGGAGCAAACAGG
rnacentral:rRNA from 1 species